rnacentral:rRNA from 1 species
CCCUCAGAUGUCCUGGGCCGCACGCGCGCUACACUGAGUGUCUGAGAUACGAGUCUGCCUGGUCCGGCAAGGUCUAGGUAAUCGCUAAAAGACACAUCAUGCUUGGGAUAGAUUAUUGCAAAUAUUAAUCUUGAACGAGGAAUUCCUAGUAAGCGCAAGUCAACAGCUUGCGUUGAUUACGUCCCUGCCCUUUGUACACACCGCCCGUCGCUACUACUGAUUGGAUGUUUAAGCGAGGUUCUCGAACUGCUAGCGACUUAGCUUCGGUGAGGUCGCAGUGUGGGAAGUGAACCUAGCUUUGGUGUCUAGAGGAAGUAAAAGUCGUAACA